ensembl:snRNA
GUGUUGUAUGAAAGGAGAGAAGGUUAGCACCUCCCUUGGCAAGGAUGGAAGAGGCCCUCAGGCCUGACAACAUGUAUACGGUUAAGGCAUUGCCACCUACUUCAUGGUGUCUAGCCAUCGUUAUUU